AGCUGGUUCUCCCCGAAAUAGCUUUAGGGCUAGCCUCAUAUAUGUUUACCGGAGGUAAAGCACUGAAUAGCCUAGGGGUCGAGAGACUACCGAAGCUUAUCAAACUAAGAAUGCCGGAUAAACGAGUAUGGGAGUCAGACUACGUGAGAUAAGUCUCGUGGUCAAAAGGGAAACAGCCCAGAUCUACAGCUAAGGUCCCAAAUGUAUACUAAGUGGAAAAGGAUGUGGCAAUGCUAAGACAACCAGGAUGUUGGCUUAGAAGCAGCCACUCAUUAAAAGAGUGCGUAAUAGCUCACUGGUCGAGUGAUGCUGCGCCGAAGAUUUAACGGGGCUAAGUAUACAACCGAAGCUUAGGCAGUAUUAGUACUGGGUAGGGGAGCGUUCUCAUUGGGGUGAAGUCAGAGCGAAAGCACUGGUGGACUGAUGAGAAGUGAGAAUGCCGGAAUGAGUAGCGAGAAUUGCGUGAGAAUCGUAAUGGCCGAAUAUCUAAGGUUUCCAGGGGUAGGUUCGUCCUCCCUGGGUCAGCCGGGAGCUAAGCUCAGGCCGAAAGGCGUAGGCGAUGCACACACGGUGGAGAUUCCGUGGCCUCUGAAGCUGUUAAAUAUACUGACACAUUACCGUAGCUUUACCGGGCGUUGGUUGCCCCGGGCGUAAGCCACUGAAAUCAAGUAGGGAAGUAAGUCAAGGUGAUGGCGAGAAAAGGUAUAUGGAUUGGCAAAGAGCCCGUACCGCAAACCGACACAGGUAGAUGAGGAGAGAAUCCUAAGGCCGACGGGAGAAGGGUUGUUAAGGAACUCGGCAAAUUGACCCCGUAACUUCGGAAUAAGGGGUGCUCGUGAAAACGAGGUCGCAGUGAAAUGGCCCAGGCGACUGUUUACCAAAAACACAGGUCUCUGCUAAACCGUAAGGUGAUGUAUAGGGGCUGACGCCUGCCCGGUGCCGGAAGGUCAAGGGGAUCACUUAGAGCAAUCGAAGGUGAGAACUUAAGCCCCGGUAAACGGCGGCCGUAACUAUAACGGUCCUAAGGUAGCGAAAUUCCUUGUCAGGUAAGUUCUGACCCGCACGAAUGGCGUAACGAUCUGGGCACUGUCUCAACAGCCCGCCCGGCGAAAUUGUAGUACCGGUGAAGAUGCCGGUUACCCGCGACUAGACGGAAAGACCCCAUGGAGCUUUACUGCAGCUUGAUAUUGAGAUUCGGUUCAUUAUGUACAGGAUAGGUGGGAGACAUGGAACCACGGGCGUCAGCUUGUGGGGAGUCGCCGUUGGGAUACCACUCUUGAUGAAUCGGGUUUCUAACCUGCUCCCGUGAAUCCGGGAGGGGGACAAUGUCAGGUGGGCAGUUUGACUGGGGCGGUCGCCUCCAAAAGAGUAACGGAGGCGUUCAAAGGUCGACUCAGCGCGGACGGAAAUCGCGCAAUGAGUGUAAACGCAGAAGUCGGCCUGACUGCGAGACAGACACGUCGAGCAGAGACGAAAGUCGGUGUUAGUGAUCAGGUGGUUGUGUAUGGAAAUGCCAUCGCUUAACGGAUAAAAGCUACCCUGGGGAUAACAGGCUGAUCUCCC
rnacentral:rRNA from 1 species